UCUUGGUCAUUUAGAGGAAGUAAAAGUCGUAACAAGGUCUCCGUAGGUGAACCUGCGGAGGGAUCAUUUACACAAAAAAUAUGAAGGCUGCACGGCCAGUUUUGGCGGGGAAGCUGAAUUAUUUUUCACCCAUGUCUUUUGCGCACUUGUUGUUUCCUGGGCGGGUUCGCCCGCCACCAGGACCACACCAUAAACCUUUUUUAUGCAGUUGCAAUCAGCGUCAGUAUAACAAAUGUAAAUCAUUUACAACUUUCAACAACGGAUCUCUUGGUUCUGGCAUCGAUGAAGAACGCAGCGAAAUGCGAUACGUAGUGUGAAUUGCAGAAUUCAGUGAAUCAUCGAAUCUUUGAACGCACAUUGCGCCCUUUGGUAUUCCAAAGGGCAUGCCUGUUCGAGCGUCAUUUGUACCCUCAAGCUUUGCUUGGUGUUGGGCGUUUGUCUUUGGCUUUUGCCCAAAGACUCGCCUUAAAACGAUUGGCAGCCGGCCUACUGGUUUCGGAGCGCAGCACAUUUUUGCGCUUGCAACUAGCUAAAGAGGCCAGCAAUCCAUCAAGACCUUCUUCUCACUUUUGACCUCGGAUCAGGUAGGGAUACCCGCUGAACUUAAGCAUAUCAAUAAGCGGAGGAA
rnacentral:rRNA from 1 species